UGCCAUAAAAAGUGAAGAUUUUAAUUUUUAACUGUGUUAAAGCAGAACACACAACAUCUUGUCAAGGCCAAAUGACAAAACAAGUUAAACUCUUGAAGAACAGCAGCUGAUAAAUAGUGCAAAUUGAACUAAAUGAAACAACAAGCCAUAACUGUUUAUUAAGGAGGCAUACAACACAGCUGGUUAUUUAAAAGGAAUCAAUCACAUACAUAAUACCCUAAUAAAUUACACUGGCCGUUAUUGAGUACAGCAUUGUCUCCUUUCUGAGACUCUCACACACAUAACACAGACCUUCUCAUCAACUUUGGCUAUUGUAUCACCAGCAAUUAUAGCUAAAUUAGACUUUCAGAUAUUGCUUCAGAUUCAGAUAUUGUUGGAUCUACGGAGUGGAUCAACUCUAAGUCCUCCUCCUGCAGUGUGACACCAGCAGUGUCAAACUUCCUAUUAAAUACAUGAGUUUGAACAACAAACAUGUAAAAGAUGCUUCAGACACCAAAUAGUAUAUUAAAAUACAGACACUUAAUCUUUGCAUAUGUCAUAUAAAAUAAAAGGAAACUUCUCCCAUAGAUAAUGGAAGCAGCCUAAUUUUGUGAAAAAACUAUGCUCAUUAGGUUAUUACUGUGCAUAAACAAGUUUUAAACUGGUUGUAUUUCAUACAAGUAAAAAAAUGUAAAGUAACUUCCAGCUGGCAAGGAUUGCAAGUUGACUGUUCAUCUUUUCUAACCCUCUUCUGAGAGACUAUAUGUGAAUAACUGCCAAAUGAGUAUUAGAAAUGAAAGCAAGCUGAGAGGAUUUUUAGCUCCACAUCCCCACAUUUUUAAGUUGCUCAUAGCCCCAUGUGUUUCUGGUCUCUAAAAGCACAGUCAACACACAUUUUUUGCACCUCUGAUUACAGUAUUGCUAAUGAAGAAAAAUAACGACCUUCCAUUCUAUAUAACUGAAAUUGAUUGGGAAAGUGAUUUUUUUUUAAUUAGAAAGUGAUCUAUAAUAAAAAGAGAUGCUUAAUUUCAUAUCGCAUUCACAAAACAGGGAGUGCUGGUGGCAAUGAACUGCUCCAGAAAUAAAUCCAGGCCUAUGGAUGGCUACAGUUAAUUUCCGUCCAAGCAAGUGGGAGAGAAACAAGGUGCAAAAUCCUCAGAAACCCACACAUUUAAUUCAGCCAAAGCUCCUGCUAUGGGUCCAUUCCUAAGCUUUAAGAGGGAGGAAAACAAUCCUGCUAUUUCCAUGUUUGACAGCAUAGAGGGAAACAAAAUUAAGGUCAGGAACACACUUUUCUGUAGUUUCUUGAUAUCCAAUGUUCAAAGCUGCUGGCUUAGUAGAAGCAGGGCCACAGCACAUGUAUCUUCAGUAGACUAGUGCACUUAUUUUUAAAUAACAUUAAUUAAAUAUAUGCAUUCCAAAGUCAACUGCUCUCAUACAUUCACCAAUGUGCAAUAUUCAUUAUCCUUGUCCAAUAUUGUGUACAGUUUAAGAGUUAAAUAAUCCUGAAGUAGUUUUUCCACCUUAAUGACACCAAAAAAAAAAUAUAGAAUACUGUGGCCAUAAAGUAGAAUCAAAUACAUCAUCAGAGCAGUAAUGAUACUAAGAGCAAAAUCCUCAAAACACCACUGCUUAGGGUUGCUCCAACAUGCAGCAUUUCAACAUCAUCACUCCUGAACAGAAUAAAACAAAGUCAGCCCUCAGAACAGGUAAGAAAAUAAGCUUUAAAGAAAUUUAUACAGGCUUAAGGUUUGUUGGUUGCAUAACCUCUACAGCAGUGCUAACAUGACAACAACAAAAUCCAGCAUCCUAGAUGGAACCUACAGCAACAGCUUCUGUGCUGUUAGGCAAACCAGCUCCAAGAGAUGCACACCCAGGUAGAGAAGAACGAGGUUUGUGGUGGCAGUGAAUACCAACAGCUAAUAAAAGCAUUCAGUCUGGGAAGAAAAAGCAACAACAGUGGCUCAGGAAUAACUCAGUCUGUCAAACACUUCUGAAGACAGCCCAGCAGGACAAAGAGCACGAGCCCACACGGCCUCCCUGCAUGUUGUUCCAGGGAAAGUAGAGACAAAGUAAUGCAAACUUCUUAGUGUUAGUUGACAUAAAUCCCAUCAGAUUCACUUAAUUCCCAUAGGAAUCUGUGAAAUCUGAAGAGCAGGGAUACCAAACCUUCUACCAGAAGUGACAUCCUAGCUCAGAUGCAGGCCUUUCUUCUGAGAAGCAGCAAGAUCAAACCACAAGAAUCCAAUGGCUUUUGUAGUACAUAGAAUUUAAGAAUCAGUUACUUCUAUCUUGCAUUGCACUCUCAGUUUAGGAUUUUAAAACAUGACAGAUCCACUCUGAAUGAAAAAACACCUAACAGCAAUGAGUGGGACUUGAGAGGGGACUUCGAAGCAUCUUGUUUUAUUACAUGGGAGCAGAUCUGAAUCACUGCUACAACUCAUUCAAAAAUGUAAGCUGCAAAAAUCAACUCAGGAAAAGAAAUAAAUUAAAUCUCAGUAGAACUAUUUAGGGAAACAAGGCAAAGUAAUUUUUACCCUAUUGCUUCACAAGUGGGAAGAAAACUAUAUAAAUAAGAAAUAAAUACAAACUCUGAAAUGAAGACACCUCUCCAGGUUAAGUGUGAGCUAAAAGCCCAAAGCUCUGCUCUCACUGAAGUUAGCAAAUGUGAAUAUGAUCAGUACCAAAAGCCAGGAGCAUUAUUCUUAUCCACACCAACAAUUCAGUGCAACAUGUACAUAUCCCAUUCAUUGUGACUCUCUGCAGCGAUGGUGCACAGCAAUACCAGCCUACCCCAGCUGUUAGCUGUAGUCAAAUGCAGCCACACUGUAACUCUUUGUAAACAGGUAAUUAAACAGCAGAGGAAAACAGAGGUGAGCAUACUGUUACUUAUUGUGCUCAGAAACAGACUGUUGAAGGCACAUUAACUACAUUAUGCAUCAGUUAAGAACAUGUCCCUUGAGAGUAACGAUUAAUACACAGCAAUACAAUAAGAUGGACUGUGCUCUAUACACACACUGCUACAAUGCACUCCUACAGAACUGCAGUUGUUCUGUGACCAGAAAAGCAGAUCAAGGCUUCCUAAAUCUGCCUUCCUGUCAAUACAUUAAUCACAAUUAAAAAACUCAGCCAUGGACUGAAAUACUGCAGACUCCACUCUUCCAGCUGUGGAAUACAGGUAAUCAGUUUCUCAAAAGCCAGUCUUACCAUCUUAAUUUGUGCAAAAAAGGUGCACCUGCACUAAGAAAACCCUCACACUCAAAGUAACACUCCCCAGUGCCUGUGUUUUUUGCCUUUGAACAUUCUGCAAGUACAUAACAAUUCUAUAUUUACCCACAAAAGGUCAAACUUCAUGUUGAAUGCUAUGAAACACAGAUACAUCUUCAUUUAUACCUCUCAAAAAACUUUCCUUAUGCUUAAUUCACUUUUCAAGUGAGAACUGCUCUCCAAAGCCAUUCAUUACUAUAAUAAGAGCUAAGAGCCACAGCUGGUUAGUAGUCACAUGUAAGAGAUGGUGUUGCUUUAAGACAGUUGUUAAAGCACUAAAAUAUUUAUGUGCCAUAAGAAGAGAACUGGAAUUAUUUAUUCUGCUCUAAUUCUCACCCUGAACAUUCACACCAACACACAACAUUUCUGAUUGUCUAAGCCACAGAACAGACACCAGGUAACAGCAAUGCAAUAUGUGAAAUCUUCCACGCAGAUAUCAAACCAGUUAAAUAGCUUUGGUAACCUAGUAUAUAGCUAGCUUUGUGUAAAUAUCUAGCAAAC
ensembl:lncRNA